AGGGCAUUCACACCUCUGUGAGCUCUUAUUUCCCAAACCCAGGCUCCAGCUCAGCAGACACCUUCAAGCAAGGUGACUCUUUGGUCUGGGGUCUUCACAUCAAGCUGGAAGAAUUCAGAGCCCCUCACAGCCACACAGCUGAUGAUCACCAGAGAGUUCUAUAGAAUUGAAAACAGGGACCAUACAAAAACUAGUCCACAAACAGCAAACUGACUUCUUGUCGUCAAAAGGGGAAAGCAUAAAUUCUAUCAACCAAUGAAUCAAUCCGUAAAAUUGACAGUCUACAGUACAGAAUACUAUUGAGCCAUAGAAACAUACUACAAAGAUAGAACUUCAAGAUAUGAUAAAUGAAAGAAGCCAGACUGAAGAGCCAAAGGCUGCGUUGCUGUCACCUGAGUGAGGUAACUCAGACCCAAAAGGACAUGCAUGACAGGAACCUACCAUGGCAGCUCUCCAAGAGGCCCAACAAACAGCUGAAAGAGCCAGAUGAAGAUACUUAUACCCAACCAAUAGACAGAAACCUGGGAUCCCUGUAGUUGAAUUCAUGAAAAGCUGGAAGAAGCUGAGGAGAAGGAUGACCCCAUAGGAAGACCAGCAGUCUCAACUAACCUGGACCCCCAGGAUCUCUGACACUGAGCCACCAACCAG